UACAGAGGUCUCAAGCGUUGUUCGGAUUCAUUGGGCGUAAAGGGUGCGUAGGCGGCGCGGUAAGUCGGGUGUGAAAUCUCGGAGCUUAACUCCGAAACUGCAUUCGAUACUGCCGUGCUUGAGGACUGGAGAGGAGACGUGGAAUUUACGGUGUAGCGGUGAAAUGCGUAGAUAUCGUGAAGGAAGACCAGUGGCGAAGGCGGGUCGCU
rnacentral:rRNA from 1 species